AAACAAAACAAAUUCCAGUUCGUAAUUCGAGUAAAUGACAGCCCUUCGCAUUGUGUAUUGUAUUCAAGGCGUGUUUUUGUGCGUAAAAUAAUAUCUUAUAGCUAAUUUUGAUGUGGCAAAAAAAGUGAGGUUAGGGCGUGUUGCUUGCCGCGUAGAAAGGCGAAAGCAGCCAAAAGUUGGUAAAAACAAGCAAAGAGAAACUAGUUUUAAAUGAUUCAUAUAAUAAGAAAGAGGCUAAACAACUUGUCCAGAUGUAUACUAGGUUCGAGCGAGUUGGCACGUUUGCCUAAUUUUAGGUUAGUUCAACUUGACUUUCUGCAUGAAUCGGUUGAGCGGGGCCAAGAUCGAAGCUAUGCUCAUUCAGGCAACUAAUCAGCCAGGAUUCAAGCUCAAAUUCCAGGCUUGUUAUGGGUGUAGAGCAGCCUUAGAAGGGGGCCAUAAUGCCAUCAAAAGUUGGGCAAAGGCAGCUAUGAAGACGAAUUUUUUAUUAUUACUCAAUAACAAUACAUUCGCCUUCAUCUUCUUCAUCUUCAUUCGUCUUCUUAAAGCAUAAUGAAAAAGAAAUGAGUCAGCUUAAAUAAACGUGUACAGCUUGCACAGCUCGUUCGAUAGUUUAGCAGAGUCUGGUCACCCUAUUCUCAGUGUUGGCUAACGAGCGCAAUUAAUCGAUAUUUUUUGCGGAAGAACUUUAAUUUUGAUUUGCAGCAAAUUGAAAAAUAAAUUGCAUUUAAUAUUUAAAUUAUAUAAUAAUAAUUGAAAUUAAAUUUAAAACUAAAUAUUAAUAUCUUGAUUUCUUUAUAAAUUCUAUAUUCCUGCUAUAUUCUCCUUCAGCAGCCCCUCCCACUUUAAUUUCGUAUUAGCUCUAUACAAAUCAAACCCAUUGACCCUGCUACUUGACUUCAAUAUCGCAUCUAUAACUGUCCAUAAAACAUUUGCAUGAGCUGUGGCUAUUAUCGUGAUUAGCUUAACUUAUGCACGGCCAGAAGUUUGUGUUCCCCGCCCUGACCGGAACCUUGGGCAAAGUGCACUUAAUACACAUUAGCUACGCUUAUUUGACAGACCCCGGUCGCAGAUAUUGAUGAUGCCCGUCUGCCCGUCUUUGACACCCUCGACGUCAGCCGGCGCGUGCUCUGCCCUGGGAUCAAGUGUAUCUCUGGCCGCUCAGGCAUUACCGCAACGGAUGUCGGUAGCCGGGGUCCGGUAGUCGGUUGAGGCGGGCGGCAUUUACGCAUCGGUUGGAUUGGAAUUUUCUCAUGGCCCUGUAAUUACUUUGUUUCCAAGCGCCGGGCGGUCGCUUCUUAAUCCUGUCAGGUUGCCGGCAUAUUUUCGGUUUUGGCAUCUUCGUCACAUUGCAAUUAAAAGCGCACAGCAGGUGUGCCCCGAAAGUCCUUUGAACUUGUGCUAUAAAAUGUGAAUGUGUCACUUGCAAGGAUUCCACAACCGGAUGACGACGGACACGAGGACAGACGCCCAACGUCAGACGCCCGACUACUGUGAUUUCUGAUGCUACCCAAGUGAAAAGCAAUUAUCACGUCAUUAUCAUAAGGAAACCCACAAACAGUUUUGUUUUUUGUGUUUUUAAUACCCUGUAACUGUGAGAUUGAGUGGGAUACAAUGAGUCGAGUCGAUAUAGCCGAGUCCGUUUAUCUAUCUCUACUAGAGCUUAGGAGCAUUAAGGUUUGUGGAGGUUUAUUUUCACUCGACUACUGCUCAAUUUCUCUAAAAUCGAUAAAUAUCGAUUUUCA